UAUUGGUCAAUGGGCGAGAGCCUGAACCAGCCAAGUCGCGUGAGGGAAGACGGUCCUAUGGAUUGUAAACCUCUUUUGCCGGGGAGCAGAGGUCCGGACGUGUCCGGGCCGGGAGAGUACCCGGAGAAAAAGCAUCGGCUAACUCCGUGCCAGCAGCCGCGGUAAUACGGAGGAUGCGAGCGUUAUCCGGAUUUAUUGGGUUUAAAGGGUGCGUAGGCGGGCAUUUAAGCCGGCGGUCAAAUGUCGGGGCUCAACCCCGGCCUGCCGUCGGAACUGGGUGCCUUGAGUGGGCGAGAAGUAUGCGGAAUGCGUGGUGUAGCGGUGAAAUGCAUAGAUAUCACGCAGAACCCCGAUUGCGAAGGCAGCAUACCGGCGCCCUACUGACGCUGAGGCACGAAAGUGCGGGUAUCG
rnacentral:rRNA from 1 species